GGACAAGCUACGAGAAGAUGAGUAAGUGGAGAAACUGGCUGUGCUUCAAACAAUCGUUUUUCUUUCCAGCCAAGCGCAUUCUUCUCAAGGUUACUUCAGGCUUUAUGCACAAGAACAAAGGUAACAGGGAUGUCCUUCUGAGUCUCUACAAGGACAUGGAGUCUUGUAGGGAAUAUGAAGAUAUACAAGUGAUGUGGGCAAUGAUUCAUUCUUCUUGUCCACAGAAUUCCAGAAAUACCAGAAUGAACAAGAGACCUUUCUAUUGGAGAUUUUGUUUCAGGCCAACUUGAAUCGUGUCAUUUUGUUCCAAUGAAGAGAGGUUCCACUUACCCUUCCUAGUUUUCUCUUCUAGCUUGGAUUGGAGUAGAUUUUCCCCCUUAUGAGAAGGGAAAAUUGCCUUAUUGUCAUGUAAUUAUCAAGAAAUCAGUAAAGACUGGAGUUUGUGUU